rnacentral:rRNA from 1 species
AAGCCGACACUGGUGCGCGAGAUGAGUAUUCUAAGGCGCUUGAGAGAACUCAGGAGAAGGAACUCGGCAAAUUGACACCGUAACUUCGGAAGAAGGUGUGCCCUAUUAGUGUGUAGUGAACAACGAAGCAUGAAUGGGUUGCAAAAAAUCGGUGGCUGCGACUGUUUAUUAAAAACACAGCACUCUGCAAAGACGAAAGUGGACGUAUAGGGUGUGACGCCUGCCCGGUGCUGGAAGAUUAAAUGAUGGGGUGCAAGCUCUUGAUUGAAGUCCCAGUAAACGGCGGCCGUAACGAUAACGGUCCUAAGGUAGCGAAAUUCCUUGUCGGGUAAGUUCCGACCUGCACGAAUGGCGUAACGAUGGCCACACUGUCUCCUCCUGAGACUCAGCGAAGUUGAAAUGUUUGUGAUGAUGCAAUCUCCCCGCGGAAAGACGGAAAGACCCCAUGAACCUUUACUGUAGCUUUGUAUUGGACUUUGAACAGAUCUGUGUAGGAUAGGUGGGAGGCUUUGAAGCAGGGUCGCUAGAUCUUGUGGAGCCAACGUUGAAAUACCACCCUGGUGUGUUUGAGGUUCUAACCUAGGUCCAUUAUCUGGAUCGGGGACAGUGCAUGGUAGGCAGUUUGACUGGGGCGGUCUCCUCCCAAAGCGUAACGGAGGAGUUCGAAGGUACGCUAGUUACGGUCGGACAUCGUGACGAUAGUGCAAUGGCAUAAGCGUGCUUAACUGCGAGACUGACAAGUCGAGCAGAUGCGAAAGCAGGACAUAGUGAUCCGGUGGUUCUGUAUGGAAGGGCCAUCGCUCAACGGAUAAAAGGUACUCUGGGGAUAACAGGCUGAUACCGCCCAAGAGUUCAUAUCGACGGCGGUGUUUGGCACCUCGAUGUCGGCUCAUCUCAUCCUGGGGCUGUAGCCGGUCCCAAGGGUAUGGCUGUUCGCCAUUUAAAGAGGUACGUGAGCUGGGUUUAAAACGUCGUGAGACAGUUUGGUCCCUAUCUUCCGUGGGCGCUGCAGAUUUGAGGAAGCCUGCUCCUAGUACGAGAGGACCGGAGUGGACACACCUCUGGUGUAUCGGUUGUCACGCCAGUGGCAUUGCCGAGUAGCUAAGUGUGGAAGAUAUAACCGCUGAAAGCAUCUAAGCGGGAAACUCGUUUCAAGAUGAGAUCUGCCGGGGCCUUGAGCCCCCUAAAGAGUCGUUCAAGACCAGGACGUUGAUAGGUCAGGUGUGGAAGCG